ACAAGGCAGGUACGAGAACAGGGUUGUUGGGGAGCUGUGUGGUAAUUGAAGGAGCUUUUCCCAUAGGAUUUAUUUGUUUCUUUGUUUGUUUACUGUUGCAGAAACCUUUUGCCAGAGAAGAAGUGAAAGCAGCUUGAAACAAAGAGCUGGAGCGGGCUGAGCAUUCCUGGAAAUGCCACAACCAUUUAGGAUGACAAGGUUCCGUAAGUAAAGAGGAGAUGAAGUCUCAGACAUGUAUCUCUUCCUUCAGAAAAUAUUUAAGAAGGUUGUCUACACUCUGAUGUCAGCCGGUGGCAAUAGAGAGGCCUCUGGAAGAAAACUGGUAGGACUCUAAUACUGAAUGCAGAAGCUAAUGUACAAAUGCCAAAAGAGUGUUCCCUGAGACAAGAGAGACCCUUGUACUCAUGAAGAAUUUCUCUGUAACUCUUAGAUAUCAGAUUGUGUAAUUUCCUGAAAAGUGCUAAUCUGCAGGGUUUUAUCCUCUUUUCCCCCUUAACUUGGAGAUGUGGAACUUCAUUCCUUAUUCUACUUAGGCUGGAGGUGAAUUAGGCUAAUGUCUUCUCAAAAUGUGAGCCACUUUGGAUUUACAACACUACACUGAUCUGGAUUUACCUUGUCAAUCUUUUAAAAAUACCUCCAAGCCAGUCUGUGCCUCACGAAGAGUAUCAGAAGGUUGAGCUUUAUAGCCUCUUCCAAAAUAUACAGAUCCUACCAUCUAAACAAUGCACUCUUGUGGCAGGACUUUCUGCCCAGGUCACAGAAGCCAGUGGGUUAUGAUAAAGAAGUCACCAGAGUUAAUCAGGAAAGCAAAGUUGAAAAAAAGCCAUAGAGGGUUUUUCUAAAGGAGCCUUUUCCUCACAAUUAAUUUAUGAAUACCUUGUCCUCUCCUACAUAAACACCUUAAUGAAAGGUGACAACAUUGCACUUAAACCAGUGGAGCAAGAGGUAGGGCAUGUGUCUUGUUUGGAAGAAAAUAGGAAGCAACUGAGUAGCAGAAAGUUGAGCUUUACAGCCUAUCCCAAAACAUGAGGAUGUGAAUAUGUUUGUGCAUAAAAAUGUGGCUCAGCUACUGUGCGAGGUGAAGAACAUCAGAAAUUCUCAAGAUGAUGAUGAAAGAACUCUAGUACAAGGAAUGGGGUUCAUCUCUUACUUCAGGGUUGAGAUUCACCUUAAUGAAGGCACUGAUGGCACAGACUUGAACAGCUCACCUUGGGCUCCCUUGAUAGUCAAUAAGAGUGUAAUCAAUAGAAUAAAUGGAAUUUAUUAUAGGAUUUGUGUCACCUCAUAGGGACAUUUAGACUUGGUCAGUUGAAGCCUAAGUAACACAAAUCCUGCCACCAAGAACAGUGCUGGACAACUUGACACUACAGAGACAGAUCCUUAUAUUGGGAACUAAUAAAAUAAUAAUAAUAUUUAACUUAGACUGUACCUGGAUAGAAUAUCAAGAAAUAUCUUGGUCUGUAUAUAAGCUGUGCUUCCUUUCUGUACUUGACAAAAUUUUAAGAUCCACACAUUUUACAGAAUAUUUGCUAGUUUUUCAGUCUUCUUUCCUUAAAUAAGCCCUUUUUGACCAACUGCUGAUGACUUCCCUCUUGUUCAUUGAUCAAAUUUCACUGAAUCUGAAGAUUUUUUUUUGUCUCCUUCACUACUUUCAUCAUAACCUCCCAAACUCUUUGGAGUUCAGCCUGGCUCAUUCUGCUCUCACUUUGUCUCAUGCCCUCUGUCUUGUGAGUUCAGAUCAUGCUGUGUCAACCUUUUGCCUUUUUAUCUUACACUCCUCCAUCAGAGAAUCACAGAAUGGUUUGGGUUGGAAGGGACCUUAAAGAACAUCUCAU